AUUGAACGCUGGCGGCAGGCCUAACACAUGCAAGUCGAGCGAGCGGCGGACGGGUGAGUAAUGUCUGGGAAACUGCCUGAUGGAGGGGGAUAACUACUGGAAACGGUAUCUCAUACCGCAUACGCUCAGAUGUGUCCAGAUGGGAUUAGCUAGUAGGUGGGGUAACGGCGCACCUAGGCGACGAUCCCUAGCUGGUCUGAGAGGAUGACCAGCCACACUGGAACUGAGACACGGUCCAGACUCCUACGGGAGGCAGCAGUGGGGAAUAUUGCACAAUGGGCGCAAGCCUGAUGCAGCCAUGCCGCGUGUGUGAAGAAGGCCUUCGGGUUGUAAAGCACUUUCAGCGGGGAGGCGUUACCCGCAGAAGAAGCACCGGCUAACUCCGUGCCAGCAGCCGCGGUAAUAC
rnacentral:rRNA from 1 species